AGCGGAGGCACCGACGGAUGCGCUCAGACGCGUCGCGUGGUUUAAAGAGCCCUGGGUGCGAGGAGUGCAGCGGGCGCUCGCGAUGUCCGUCUAUUUCACCCUCGCGCGCACCUUCAUUGAUGACCCCCCGCAGGUGUCCCCCUCCGCGGAACGCGCGCGCCGCUCUCCUCUCCCCGCGUCCACCGCUACGAGGAUCUCUGCUGUCCUCCGAACGGAACCGGGAGUUUUCCUGAGCGAGCGCUCGGUCACCAGCAGGGGGCGCUGUGGAGAUGGCGCCGCUCUCCAGGCUGGCGUCCUGAACAGUCGUAACAACUGCUCUUGCUACACGUGGAGAAAGAUUUGUUUUGGCAACUUCACAGUCGCGGAAAUUGAAUGAAUGAAUGAAUGAAUGAUAGCAAGAAUCGGAUUCCAUUUCUGAGAAAACAAUUAAAGAUCAGAAAAUGUUUUGGCUGUGUAGAAGAGGAUAAAGUUUCACUCAAAGGACGGAGGUUCGAAUCCCACCUCGUGCUGCAAUACUCUUGAUUAAGGUACCUACUCUGAAGUCAAGCUAGAAAGUGUGAGCUGAAAUACAUGUAAAUAUACAUUUUACGGACACUGACUGUACUGGUGAAUAAGAAGGAUCGCAUCUCAAAUGCAGACCUUUUUAAAACUCCAGAUGCAGUUUAUACCAAACUUUUAAUGAAAAGUUUGCUUUUUACUAAAAAUUCCGUGAAGCUUGAGACUUUCAUGUCUGCAGCUAUGUCUGCUUCUCUUAAUGUAAUGCAUAAAUUGUAUUUUUGCUGAGAUGUACGUCGCUUUGGACAAAAGCGUCUGCUGAAUGAAUGAAUGUAAAUGUAAAUGUUUCCUCGAUUAUAAUUCUGUGUGUGUGUGUGUGUGUGCGCGCGCGCUUCUUCAGUGACCAUGAGCCCCACGUGAAGGACACACCAUGUAGUGAGCGCCAUUCACCACAAGAGGGCGGUGUGGUUCCACUCGCAGUCAGUCUCUUGACUCGCCUUGGCUGGGAGACUGAAUCUCCCGCGGUCUGUGUGAACCACAGACUUGGAGAAUGAAAAGUAUGAUAACUGGUACAGUUCCCGUCAUGUUCCAGCAGCUCAAUAAAGUUCAGAUGAACUAAUGGCUCA
rnacentral:lncRNA from 1 species